rnacentral:rRNA from 1 species
AGAGAGGUGGGCAACUACCACUCAGGGCCGGAAAGCUCUCCAAACUCGGUCAUUUAGAGGAAGUAAAAGUCGUAACAAGGUCUCCGUUGGUGAACCAGCGGAGGGAUCAUUACCGAGUUUACAACUCCCAAACCCCUGUGAACAUACCAAUUGUUGCCUCGGCGGAUCAGCCCGCUCCCGGUAAAACGGGACGGCCCGCCAGAGGACCCCUAAACUCUGUUUCUAUAUGUAACUUCUGAGUAAAACCAUAAAUAAAUCAAAACUUUCAACAACGGAUCUCUUGGUUCUGGCAUCGAUGAAGAACGCAGCAAAAUGCGAUAAGUAAUGUGAAUUGCAGAAUUCAGUGAAUCAUCGAAUCUUUGAACGCACAUUGCGCCCGCCAGUAUUCUGGCGGGCAUGCCUGUUCGAGCGUCAUUUCAACCCUCAAGCCCCCGGGUUUGGUGUUGGGGAUCGGCGAGCCCUUGCGGCAAGCCGGCCCCGAAAUCUAGUGGCGGUCUCGCUGCAGCUUCCAUUGCGUAGUAGUAAAACCCUCGCAACUGGUACGCGGCGCGGCCAAGCCGUUAAACCCCCAACUUCUGAAUGUUGACCUCGGAUCAGGUAGGAAUACCCGCUGAACUUAAGCAUAUCAAUAAGCGGAGGAAAAGAAACCAACAGGGAUUGCCCUAGUAACGGCGAGUGAAGCGGCAACAGCUCAAAUUUGAAAUCUGGCUCUCGGGCCCGAGUUGUAAUUUGUAGAGGAUACUUUUGAUGCGGUGCCUUCCGAGUUCCCUGGAACGGGACGCCAUAGAGGGUGAGAGCCCCGUCUGGUUGGAUGCCAAAUCUCUGUAAAGUUCCUUCGACGAGUCGAGUAGUUUGGGAAUGCUGCUCUAAAUGGGAGGUAUAUGUCUUCUAAAGCUAAAUACCGGCCAGAGACCGAUAGCGCACAAGUAGAGUGAUCGAAAGAUGAAAAGCACUUUGAAAAAGAGAGUUAAAAAGUACGUGAAAUUGUUGAAAGGGAAGCGUUUAUGACCAGACUUGGGCUUGGUUAAUCAUCUGGGGUUCUCCCCAGUGCACUUUUCCAGUCCAGGCCAGCAUCAGUUUUCCCCGGGGGAUAAAGACUUCGGGAAUGUGGCUCUCUUCGGGGAGUGUUAUAGCCCGUUGUGUAAUACCCUGGGGGGGACUGAGGUUCGCGCAUCUGCAAGGAUGCUGGCGUAAUGGUCAUCAACGACCCGUCUUGAAACACGGACCAAGGAGUCGUCUUCGUAUGCGAGUGUUCGGGUGUCAAACCCCUACGCGUAAUGAAAGUGAACGCAGGUGAGAGCUUCGGCGCAUCAUCGACCGAUCCUGAUGUUCUCGGAUGGAUUUGAGUAAGAGCAUACGGGGCCGGACCCGAAAGAAGGUGAACUAUGCCUGUAUAGGGUGAAGCCAGAGGAAACUCUGGUGGAGGCUCGCAGCGGUUCUGACGUGCAAAUCGAUCGUCAAAUAUGGGCAUGGGGGCGAAAGACUAAUCGAACCUUCUAGUAGCUGGUUUCCGCCGAAGUUUCCCUCAGGAUAGCAGUGUUGAACUCAGUUUUAUGAGGUAAAGCGAAUGAUUAGGGACUCGGGGGCGCUAUUUAGCCUUCAUCCAUUCUCAAACUUUAAAUAUGUAAGAAGCUCUUGUUGCUUAAUUGAAC